GAGGCUCAGCCGCUCGCGGUGGAGAAAGCAGGCCGCGGAGGAGGCGGGCGCCCAGGCCUGCCCGGACAGGAAGUGGGCCCAGCUUUCCCACUCCUCGCUCCGCUCCUUCCUCCGCGGGAAGGGCAGGCCCCGGAGGCAGCGAGCGCCCCGGGGGUGGCCGGGCAGCCGGAUGCUCCCGGGGUUGCGGGCUGUGGCCCCGGGGGCUGAGGGCGGCGCGGGUGCGGCGGAAGCAGGGAAGCCGCGAACCGGCCUUCUGGCUGGCCACAGCGCCCUGCACGGACGAUCAGUGAAUGGAGAUUACUCAAGUAUUUAUCGAGAACUUGCAGUGGGCUAGGCACAGUUCAGGUAGAUCAACAAACCGAAAGACCCUGCCCUAGGGGAGCUUUCGCUCCAAUGCGGGGAGAGGGUGGAUGAUUGCAGUUUUGCCCAGUAAUUUUUGGGACCCUCAUGCCACCAUUAAUUAGCUACACACAUUUCACCGAAAGUCUACCUUACAUAUUAAUCAGAAGAAGUGGAAGAAUAAACACAGAAGAAGCAAAAAAGGAAGGAACUUUCUCACUGAAAGUUUCUAUUUAAUAUUAAGUCUUAAAAGUACUCCUGGAAGGACAAAAGGUGUUCUUAAUAAAUUAUAUUCGCAAAUAUUGGAUUUAAUCCUACCAGUAAUGAAGCAGUCAGUUACUUUCUAGAUGUGCAGAAAUACGUAAUGAACAAAAAAAACUAAUUCCUAUUCCAUUUUUUAUUAGGUCCACAGUUAUUUCACUUCUAAAUAAAUAUGGUUUUUUAAAAGUGGCACGCGGUGGAAUGUAAUUGAGACAGGAUGGAGUUCCUAGAGAAAUUUUACUUCCUCAAUCUGCACUCCACCUUACUUAAAAUACAGUCUUGGGUCUGUAAUUCCCUUAUCUGACUCUCAAGGAAAUGACAAAGUAAUGCCUAGAUUGGACUAAACCUCAUUUAACUUCAAGGCUGACCUUUCUCAAAGUUGAACCUUCGUCUUGUGAGGAACAGAAAGAUCAAGAACUCUGAAGCACCUCGACUUUCCACCUGUGAAGAUGUGUUCAAAUUUGCAACGUGCGGCCACACCUAUGAGGCAGGAGUGCAGUGGCGAGAUCUGGACUCACUGCAACCUCUGCCUCCUGGCUUCAAGCAAUUCUCAUGCUUCAGCCUGUAGCUGGAACUACAGGUCACUCCCUCUGGAGGAAACCAGCUGCCACUUUGUGAGGAUACUCAUAGUCCUGUGGAGGCAUAUCCUCCAUAUGGCUGAGACCUCCUGCGAACAACCAUCACUGACUUGCCAGACAUGAGUGUGCCACCUUGGAAGCAGAUUUUCCAGCCCCAGUUAAGCCUUCAGAUGACAUCAGCCCCUGCUAAUCUCUUGACUACAACCUCAUGAGAGACCCUGAGCCAGAACUAGCCAGGCUUACCCCUCAUGGUUACAAAGUGGCUGCAACAGCUCCAGGUGUUCUAUCCUUUAACACAGAAUAACUCAAACAACAAGACCCAAUAUUCAGACAAGAAGGAAAGGGACUUUUGGAGAGUGAAGAAAACUUUCCUAGAAACCUCAAACUUCUCCCCAUGCCUUAUUGGCCAGAUUGUAUCCCAUGCCCAUUUCUAAACCAAUCAUUGGCAAAGUGAGUGGAAUUGACGUGAUUAGAUUAACUUUACCAAGAAUGCAUCCUCAGAGAGGCUGAGAAAAAGUCCAGCCUCCUUUGAAGAGCCUGGCUACCUUUCACCUGAACAAAACAAGAAUUCUGAUGAAAAAUGGAGAAUGUAUGUGGAGCAGGCACCCGGAGUGUCUAUGCCAGGAUUUUUUUUCAGUGCGUUUCACCGGUUAUAUUUUUGUCUCUUUACCUUACAAGAUAUGUGGCACGUUUGCCUAAAACAAGCCUUGCUUUCUGAUUUCUGUGCACUAGGCACUUAAACCUUGCAAAUGUCGCUUACCUAACAGUCACUGUCAAGGAGUACCUGGCUAAAGAAUCUCCAGCUAGACAAAGUAGAAGUGUCUGUGCUCUGGCAGUUGAAUAUAUUGUAUCAGGCUCAACAGCACCUUUCACCAAAGGAUGAGACUUCACAACCAUUAGAUCUUCUUUUAUUUUGUUUUUAUUAAAAAAAAAAAUUUUAACACACCAUUGCUAACUUGAAGCCAUUAGAUCUUCUUACCCCCAAUACCACAAAAGUUUAGUGGAAUCAGGGGUAUACCAAGGCAGGUGGAGUAGGGGAGCUGGGAGUGGUCAGCCCCCAGGGCAGGCAAUGAGGGAUUGUGAAUCUGUGAAGAAUUUUAAAGCAAUGAUACAGCUCUAAAUGCAAUGUACUAUCCUGGACUUAGCCCUGGAAAAGAAAAAAGAUAUUAGUGGAAAAACUGGUAAAAUUCAAAUAAUGUCUGUAGUUUGGUUAAUAGUAUUAUACCAAUGUUAAUUUCUGUGUUUUGAUAAAUGUACCAUGGUUAUGUAAGCUGGAUGAAAGAUAUGUGGGAAAUCUCUCUACUAUUUCUGCAACUCUCCUGUAAACCUAAAAAUGUUUCAAAAUAAAAGAUUUAAUGCU
rnacentral:lncRNA from 1 species